CAACAUUCCUCCCCCGCCCCCCUCGGGCUGGACUGGGCGUCCAGGGCAGCUGGAGCUGCGCCCACACACGGCUUUGUUUACUGAGGGUCGCUUCCGGGAAUGGCGAGGGGACAAUCAACAUGGCUCGGCCAGAGAGCGAGACAGAGCGGCGGGAUCCCCGGGCAGCAGCUCUGCCCCUCUUUCCUCUGGGUUGUGUGACUCGAGAAACUCUCAGCCUCUGUUGGCCCGGUCGUUUUGGUGCUCUCAGAGAUAAUACUGUCAUCAUCCCCAUCUUCUGGAUGAGAAAACUGAGGCACAGAGAGGCCAGGUGACUUUCCCAAGGUCCACAGCAGGAAAUGGUGAGAAAAUCGAGGUGAAGAACGGCAAGACAAUUUACUCAAGGUUUUUCAACUCAUGAGUUGGACAAUCUCACACUGAAUUUAACCUCCGAGAUGUUUCUGUUCCAAAACUGGCUUGAAUUUGAAAAUGCCUGUGCCCUGGAAGGCUGGUGACACUCCAGAUGCCACUUACCUCCUGCGAAGCGGCUAGCGUAUGUAACUGGAGGUGCCCUUCCAAGUGAUGGCUUACCUGGU